AUUGAUUUUAUGCUUGCAUAAAUGAUUUUUGGAUUCGGAGCGAGUGGCGAACUGGUGAGUAACACGUGGGCAACCUGCCCCGAAGCGGGGGAUAACAUUUGGAAACAAGUGCUAAUACCGCAUAAUUAGUUGGAACCGCAUGGUUCCAACUUGAAAGAUGGCUCUGCUAUCACUUUGGGAUGGACCCGCGCCGUAUUAGUUAGUUGGUGAGAUAAAAGCCCACCAAGACGAUGAUACGUAGCCGACCUGAGAGGGUAAUCGGCCACAUUGGGACUGAGACACGGCCCAGACUCCUACGGGAGGCAGCAGUAGGGAAUCUUCCACAAUGGACGAAAGUCUGAUGGAGCAACGCCGCGUGAGUGAUGAAGGUUUUCGGAUCGUAAAACUCUGUUGUUAAAGAAGAACAAGUGUUAGAGUAACUGUUAACACUUUGACGGUAUUUAACCAGAAAGCCACGGCUAACUACGUGCCAGCAGCCGCGGUAAUACGUAGGUGGCAAGCGUUGUCCGGAUUUAUUGGGCGUAAAGCGAGCGCAGGCGGUUUUGUAAGUCUGCUGUGAAAGCCCUCAGCUCAACUGAGGAAGUGCAGUGGAAACUACAAAACUUGAGUACAGAAGAGGAAAGUGGAACUCCAUGUGUAGCGGUGAAAUGCGUAGAUAUAUGGAAGAACACCAGUGGCGAAGGCGGCUUUCUGGUCUGUUACUGACGCUGAGGCUCGAAAGCAUGGGUAGCGAACAGGAUUAGAUACCCUGGUAGUCCAUGCCGUAAACGAUGAAUACUAGGUGUUGGAGGGUUUCCGCCCUUCAGUGCCGCAGCUAACGCAUUAAGUAUUCCGCCUGGGGAGUACGACCGCAAGGUUGAAACUCAAAGGAAUUGACGGGGGCCCGCACAAGUGGUGGAGCAUGUGGUUUAAUUCGAUGCUACGCGAAGAACCUUACCAGCUCUUGACAUCUUCGGCCAACCCAAGAGAUUGGGCGUUCCCUUCGGGGACAGAAUGACAGGUGGUGCAUGGUUGUCGUCAGCUCGUGUCGUGAGAUGUUGGGUUAAGUCCCGCAACGAGCGCAACCCUUAUUAUUAGUUGCCAGCAUUUAGUUGGGCACUCUAGUGAGACUGCCGGUGAUAAA
rnacentral:rRNA from 1 species